CAAUACCUGGUGGAGGACAGAGCAAAAAAAUUAUACUGAAAAGGAAGAAAAAGAAACUUUUUAAGCAGAAAGUCCAUCUGAAAGUAGAAGUCUUCAUCAACUCGUGCUUCAUGCAGUUAUUGCAAAAUGGAGAUGAAGUCUCUCACACAUACGCUCAGGAAAGGCAAAAUAUGAAGGUUCUUUGAAGAUUUAUAUGCAUUUUGCCAGAAGAGGUUUGUCUAACUGGGAAUUGCAGACUUGGCUGACAACAAAUAACUACUCCGAAGGCCCUUCUACAGAUUUCAAGUAUCAUUUUCUGGAAAAUAUGAUAGAGACAACAGAAACUUCAUUGAUUUAACCAUCAUUUCUAAUGAAUGUAUGAAUACUGUGCAGAAGUCACAAAUGACUUUUCAACUGUUUUUCAACUGAUUGGACUCGAUGAUCUCUUGAGGUCCUUUCCAACUUCUGCAGUGAUUCUGUGAUUCUGUGACAUAUACUAUGUAGUACCUUUGAGUGGCAGGAUUUGAAGAAUUAUCAUUCAGAGUCUUAAAAUCAUGAAACCAUGCUGAAAAUAAAAAUUGCCUUUUAGCUUGCUUUUCAUCUUCCAGGGUUUGUAUUUCUACUGCUGAGAGGGUAGAAACCAUCACAACCAACAGCAUAAAGGAGCAAACUGCAAAUUCAUUUGUAUAACUCUAUAAACACCUCAUACUUAAUUGUAACAAUUUUCAGCAAAAAUAAUAUUGUGCAUAUAGAUUAAAUUUUGCAACUUCUUAUUUUGUUUUGUAAUAAUUUUUCUUUAAACAUCUAGAGAUCACUUCUUCCACCCCUUCUCCUCAGCUCAGAUAAGCAGUUCUCUCAUGCUUCCUGCCACCUCCUUGUGCUGCGUGAGCCCCUCCUCUUAUUUCUACUUAAUCUAUCAAGAUGUAUUUGGCAUAUUGUUGGACUGAUGUUCUAUGCAUUUUCACUGGGGAGAGGAAUAAGAAAGGAAGUAGAUGAAAAGCAGCUGAAAAACACUUUGUCUUAGAAUAAAUGAAUAGACUUUUUCAAACUAUUCUCACAAACACACGCUCCACAUUUUCUUUGGUCUGACAAUAGCCAUUGGAAAUUGCAUCCAAAUGGUAUUCUUUUAUUUGAAAUUCUAAGCCUCUGAAAAUGGGUUUUUACCACACUGUUGCUCAGUCAUACCUCUUUCUUCUAAAAGAUUUGAAAUUUAAGUUGAAAUUGUUUGAUAGCUUUGCCGUAUAUGCUGUCUGAAUAAAACAUACUUAAUUCCUUGUGCACACUGGAUGGCUAGGUAAGCUGUACAUUAUCUGUUUGGUCCCUUCAGAAUUACUUUGCUUUUGCAGCUCAAAGUGACUGGCAGCAACACGAGAGGCAAGUGUUCUAGAAGAGCAGAGGCUGCAUUUAUAAAUUGCUGAUAACUGCAUCAGUAGGAAAAGGAAAGCCUCCCAGUGAAGCAAUAAGUGCUUUAAAAGAUGCAGGUAUUUCCAAAGCUUGGAUACUGAAGACAGAAAAUAGGUGAUAUGGAAAAUGUUUCAGUGGACUGAAUGACUCCACAAAUAUUUAAAUUCUUUGUAUACUGGAGACCUGUUAUAAGCAGUAACUUAGGUUUAAUUUCUGUCUGUGUUUUAAAAUACCUUCUUUAAUGUCAUUCUGCUUCAGGAAAUUAAUUCAGAAAAAAAAAAGAGUAAAUAAAGCACCUGCUUCUAUCUGGAUUUCAACAAUUUCAUGCAUAAUUCUUUGGAAAUCACUUAAGUAAAAUCUGUCACAAAAUAUUACUUUUGUCUUGCUAUUUGCUUGAAGGACGCUAAUCAUUGUUUAUGUGCUCAAAUUAAGAAACUAUCUUUUUAUACUAACUUUAGAGAUAGACAAAAUUUUUAAUACAGAAAGAGAAAUGUGCUUCUAAUUGUUGAUUUAAGUCUGCAUUGCUUUGUGUAAAAUUCUUGUUUAGCAUCUCAGACUGUUGCCUUUAAGAUAUUCUGUAACUGAUCUCACUUUUGUGUAUUUUAUUAGACAGAAGAGGGUUCUGAAAAAUGAAGUUUUGAAUAUAAAUGUAAAUGAUAAUCUGAAUUAGAUUCAAUCCAAAUAAAUCUGAAUAUGAAUCUAUAAUCCAAAUAAAUUGAAUAUGAAUCAAUUAUUUUGAAGGAAGUUUGAUCAAUUAAAGAUUUAGGCAGAAAAAAAUUCACCUGAAUCCAUAUUCAUCUGACAACCAAGACUAUCAGAUACGAUACUAGAAUUAAUAAUGUUGCC
rnacentral:lncRNA from 1 species